CGCCCGUCGCUCCUACCGAUUGGGUGUGCUGGUGAAGUGUUCGGAUAGGCGACCGGGGGCGGUUUCCGCCCUCGGCCGCCGAGAAGUUCAUUAAACCCUCCCACCUAGAGGAAGGAGAAGUCGUAACAAGGUUUCC
rnacentral:rRNA from 1 species